ensembl:lncRNA
AAUCCUCCGGCUUUUCCUCGUUAUAGCCACUGGUUGCCACUCACUCAUGCUUCUGUCAUUCACACCCCACUGUGAUGUCACCAUCUGUAGCCCUAGACCUGCCUGCCACCAGUGUGUGUGUGAGUGAAUGCACCAUCUGUCCUCAAUGGGCCUCCCCUUGAUGCUGUUAUAUACGCUGCUUGUUUUAGAAGAGUUGGCCAAGAAGAAUGGAGUUCCCACAUGUAUUUCUAACAAUACAGUGCACAAGGAAAUUGCACUUUCAAAUCCUCUCCCCCAAUUCACUUUACAUUGUUUCUCCACCCUCUCUCCAUCUCUAAAACCCAUGACCUGGAGCAGAGUGCAGAGAUGAAACAGACUCAAAACACUAGCUGGCUCUCUGUGUCAAUUAAAUACUUGUGUGCUGAAAGAAAGAAAGACAGAAAAACAGAAUUGAUUGACACUUUGGAGUUAAUCCCCAUAUCAACGACUCCUGGAGAGACGGGAUACACUUAGAGCACAGGGGAUCAACAACGGGAGUGAAAGAGAGUGAAAUCAGGGAAGGAAAGGAGAGAAGACGGGGGAAGGCUCCAUGGGGGAUGGACGCUGCUUGGACGCCUGAGGUGAAAGCCCCUCACUGGGCAGAGGAUGCAGCAGCAGUGGGGUUGGAGGUCUGGUGGUGUUGCUGGUGUCCUGCUGAACAAAAGGUCUCAAUGAGUGAAACACACAACAGCAUUUUAAUGAGCCACAGUCUGUUAAUAUUUUAACACUCAGUUAGGACUCUUCCAGCCUCAAGGCAGCAGGGAGUGGAAAGAAAGGUGCUUAUGGAGAUGGUUAAGGGAAAUAAAUUGAGCUCUGAGCAGCAUGAUAUUAGUUUUUGAGGUUUAAUCACAGUGCAUGUCCUACAGGGUUCAGUUUCUGAGAUUGAGCUAAUGUGUUUGUCUCAUAUGUAUUCGCAAAUGUUGCUAAAUUCAUUGCGGGAUGCUCAGAAAUGGAAAAUAAUUUGAACACAUCUACAAAAUUAAAUUAAGUGUUUGCAUGUGAAUGAAAGAAAAUGAACUGGAAUUACAUUCAGACUAGACUGGAAUUACAAGUAGAAAUAGUCAAAAAGAAAGAA